rnacentral:rRNA from 1 species
GAUGAAGCCCUAUCGGGGUGGAUUAGUGGCGAACGGGUGAGUAACACGUGGGCAAUCUGCCCUUCACUCUGGGACAAGCCCUGGAAACGGGGUCUAAUACCGGAUAAUACUCCUGCCUGCAUGGGUGGGGGUUGAAAGCUCCGGCGGUGAAGGAUGAGCCCGCGGCCUAUCAGCUUGUUGGUGGGGUAAUGGCCCACCAAGGCGACGACGGGUAGCCGGCCUGAGAGGGCGACCGGCCACACUGGGACUGAGACACGGCCCAGACUCCUACGGGAGGCAGCAGUGGGGAAUAUUGCACAAUGGGCGAAAGCCUGAUGCAGCGACGCCGCGUGAGGGAUGACGGCCUUCGGGUUGUAAACCUCUUUCAGCAGGGAAGAAGCGAAAGUGACGGUACCUGCAGAAGAAGCGCCGGCUAACUACGUGCCAGCAGCCGCGGUAAUACGUAGGGCGCAAGCGUUGUCCGGAAUUAUUGGGCGUAAAGAGCUCGUAGGCGGCUUGUCACGUCGGAUGUGAAAGCCCGAGGCUUAACCUCGGGUCUGCAUUCGAUACGGGCUAGCUAGAGUGUGGUAGGGGAGAUCGGAAUUCCUGGUGUAGCGGUGAAAUGCGCAGAUAUCAGGAGGAACACCGGUGGCGAAGGCGGAUCUCUGGGCCAUUACUGACGCUGAGGAGCGAAAGCGUGGGGAGCGAACAGGAUUAGAUACCCUGGUAGUCCACGCCGUAAACGUUGGGAACUAGGUGUUGGCGACAUUCCACGUCGUCGGUGCCGCAGCU